UACGUAGGGGGCAAGCGUUGUCCGGAAUCAUUGGGCGUAAAGCGCGUGUAGGCGGUCCGAUCAGUCGGCUGUGAAAGUCCAGGGCUCAACCCUGGGAUGCCGGUCGAUACUGUCGGGCUAGAGUCCGGAAGAGGCGAGUGGAAUUCCCGGUGUAGCGGUGAAAUGCGCAGAUAUCAGGAGGAACACCGGUGGCGAAGGCGGGUCUCUGGGCAGUAACUGACGCUGAGGAGCGAAAGCGUGGGGAGCGAACAGG
rnacentral:rRNA from 1 species